GAUGAAGAACGUAGCGAAAUGCGAUACGUAAUGUGAAUUGCAAAUUCAGUGAAUCAUCGAGUCUUUGAACGCACAUUGCGCGCCCUGGUAUUCCGGGGGGCAUGCCUGUCCGAGCGUCAUUGCUGCCCUCAAGCACGGCUUGUGUGUUGGGCCUCCGUCCUCCUCCCGGGGGACGGGCCCGAAAGGCAGCGGCGGCACCGCGUCCGGUCCUCGAGCGUAUGGGGCUUCGUCACCCGCUCUUGUAGGCCCGGCCGGCGCUUGCCGACACAUCAAUCUUUUUUCCAGGUUGACCUCGGAUCAGGUAGGGAUACCCGCUGAACUUAAGCAUAUCAAUAAGCGGAGGA
rnacentral:misc_RNA from 1 species